ACGGCUUUGGCAAAUGCGCCUUCCGCUUGACCACACAUCCCCAGAUGAGGGGUGCAGGAAUCGCAACUGGUUCACGCAAGGGCAAUUUCGAAUAAGCCCGUGGCACCUUAGGAACCACAGCGUCGCCAUCCGACAAAGACCUCGCCAGGGUUGGGGAGGCACAAGCACCCCAUGGCAACUGUGGAAGGCGAGGAGUAGAAACUCCAACAACAAGACUAGUAGGAGAAAUGUCACACUCUCACAAACCACGAUCUAAAUUUUUGACCAGAAUGUCACCACAACUCCCCACAUCACGAAAACUCCCUUACUCCGGUAAGCAGAGAUAUCACCACGGUCUCCUGGCCACGGUGGUGGUUCCAAACUGCGGAGAUGCAGCUCUCCCCCUUCACGACGCGCCCACAGCUCCGAGC
rnacentral:lncRNA from 1 species